rnacentral:rRNA from 1 species
AACGAACGCUGGCGGCGGGCUUAACACAUGCAAGUCGAGCGCCCCGCAAGGGGAGCGGCAGACGGGUGAGUAACGCGUGGGAAUCUACCGUGCCCUACGGAAUAGCUCCGGGAAAUUGGAAUUAAUACCGUAUACGCCCUUUGGGGGAAAGAUUUAUCGGGGUAUGAUGAGCCCGCGUUGGAUUAGCUAGUUGGUAGGGUAAAGGCCUACCAAGGCGACGAUCCAUAGCUGGUCUGAGAGGAGGAUCAGCCACAUUCGGACUGAGACACGGCCCAAACUCGUACGGGAGGCAGCAGUGUGGACUAUUGGACAAUGGACACAAGCCUGUACCACCCAUGCCGCGGGAGUGAUGAAGGCACUAGGGUUGUAAAGCUCUUUCGCCGGUGAAGAUAAUGACGGUAACCGGAGAAGAAGCCCCGGCUAACUUCGUGGCAGCAGCCGCGGUAA